AUGUUGCAACUUAUUGCCGUCAACAGCAUUACGGUACUAGAGACGGGAUUCUCAGGUGCUCCUCCAGAAGCCAGAGUGCAGCUGCCUCUGUUGGUAUGUGCUGAGUACCAGUGUGAUGAUCCUCAGACCUGUCCGCGAAGCACAGGGCCGGGGGUGCUGAUGCUCUCAGUUGCCUGCAGCACCUCUCUAGACUACAAGCAGGCUUGGCUCCUGGGGCUCCUGCUGCUCUGGCUCCCAGGUGCCAGAUGUGACAUCCAGAUGACCCAAUCUCCAUCCUUCCUGUCUGCAUCUGCGGGAGACAGAGUCACCAUCACCUGCCAGGUGAGUCAGGGAAUUAGCAAUGAAUUACCCUGGUAUCAGCAGAAACCAGGGAAAGCCCCUACGCUCUUGAUCUUUGCUGCAACCCGAUUGCAGUCGGGAAUCCCAUCUCAGUUUAGUGGCCCUGGAUCUGGGACAGAUUUCACUCUCAACAUCAGCAGCCUGCAGCCUGAUGAUUUUGCCACUUAUUACUGUCAACAGGAUUACAGUUACCCUCCCACAGUGUUGCAGGUCAUAACAAUAACCACCCAGUGA